GAUGAACGCUAGCGGCAGGCCUAAUACAUGCAAGUCGAACGGUAAGGCCCUUUCGGGGGUACACGAGUGGCGGACGGGUGCGUAACGCGUAUGCAACAUGCCUUCCAGCGGGGGAUAUACCAGGGAAACUUGGCGCAAUACCCCAUAGAAUUACGGGACCGCAUGGUCUUGUGAUUAAAACUCCGGUGCUGGGAGAUUGGCAUGCGUGACAUUAGCUAGUUGGCGGGGUAACGGCCCACCAAGGCGACGAUGUCUAGCUGGUCUGAGAGGAUGAUCAGCCACACUGGGACUGAGACACGGCCCAGACUCCUACGGGAGGCAGCAGUAGGGAAUAUUGGACAAUGGGGGGAACCCGUCGAUCCAGCCAUGCCGCGUGAGGGAAGAAGGUCC
rnacentral:rRNA from 1 species